GUUCCCGUUGUGUUCUGUCUGAGGCAUGCUUUUCUUUCCUUUUUGGGAGGCAGAGAGCCCUGGGCAGAAUUGCACUUGGCACAUUGCAACGCCGUUGUCACUGCUGUGGCUGUUACUCCCCUCGGCAAGCGCCAAGGAGCAAACAGGACGUAAAUUCCAAGACUGUGGUGCUCGAGGAGAUCUGCCCUGUGGAAGGCGAACCGGGAUCUAGAUUAUUGGUCAAACAAAGUCAACCGAUUCAUGACUUGCCAGCUGGAUCUCCCUUGCUUCUUCCAGGAGAGAGGGGGUUGAAAGAGCCAACAGGAACUGAGAAGCAUGAUAAACGAAGGAGGAAAAGUAACAAAGAGCUUGAAGACUUUCAUGGCUCCCAGGUCCUGGAUGGGAGGCCGGUGGCCUCAGACGGACAGAACCAAGGAGGUGCCUGUGGCUGCAGAGGCCAGAUGGAGUUGCUGCUACCCUUUCUCACUGCAUCCAGCUGUACACGUGAGGCACACGCGAGACUGUACCCGAACCCACCAGAAGUUUGUGACCCUACAGCGUUCUAUCGUUAUAAGGCAUAUCAUCAUUGUUCUGCUGCGUAUUCCUUACUAGUGACCUCCCCGUAUUUCCAACCUUAAGUAUUUUAAAAGUUAUCUUUCCAGGGUGCCUGGGUGGCUCAGUCCUUAAGUGUCUGCCUUUGGCUCAGGUCAUGAUCCCAGGGUCCUGGGAUCAAGCCCCGCAUCACGCUCCCUGCUCAGCGGGAAGCCUGCUUCUCCCUCUCCUGCUCCCCCUGCUUGUAUUCCCUCUCUCACUGCCUCUCUCUGUCCAAUAAAUAAAUAAAAUCUUUAAAAAAAUAAAAGCUG
rnacentral:lncRNA from 1 species